AUGGCCAUACCAUGUUGAAUAUACCGGUUCUCGUUAGAUCACCGAAGUCAAGCAUCGUUGGGUGCGGUCAGUACUUGGGUGGGUGACCACCUGGGAACACUGGG
rnacentral:rRNA from 1 species